UUUAGUUAGGAAAUAAUGUAUAUUGCUAAGUGUGAUGUCUGAAAGAAGGACAAGUAUUGUAGCGAGCCUAAAUCCUUGUUAUCGUUGCCAGUAUUUAGUGGUAGGGAUUCCGAUAAGACUGCUAUUUAUAA
rnacentral:misc_RNA from 1 species